AGAUGCAGAAUAUCGAUGAAGCUUGAUCCAUACUGUAAUGGAAAAUUGUAUUGAUUCGGAUCACACUUGUGAUAUAUGGUAUCUGAUGCUUCCUCAUAAACAAUUUUUUCUUGAAUGGUGGUAGAUAAACUUGAAUAUGACUCUUGGGCAUUAAUAGUUCUGCACAGCAAAGAAGUAUCAUGAGAAUUUCUGGGGGAGGAUUUGGUGAAUAAUAUCAAGAAAGUUCAGAAUACUUAUAUGUUGGUUGUUAGUCACAGAUCUAUGGGUAGAUUUGAGGUUGACAUUCUAUAUUUUUUCAGCUUGUGACCUCUGUUUGAUUUUUCACACUAUAUUUUCAUCCAUUUGGUUGAACUUAUAUUUUCUGCUCUUUUUUUCAAUAUUUAUCUUGCGUCCAGGCUAUGAUGAAAGAUCAAUUCGCCAAUUAUGUCGUACAGAAAGUGCUCGAGACAUGUAAUGAUCAGCAGCGUGAGCUGAUACUGUCAAGAAUAAAAGUUCAUCUGAAUGCACUGAAGAAGUACACAUAUGGGAAGCAUAUCGUAGCUCGUGUAGAGAAACUUGUUGCAGCUGGAGAAAGGAGAAUUGCUGCCCAGUCUUCAUAUCCUGCUUAGAUGUUUUAGGAAAGAAAGUUGCUGUACAGCUAACUGAGGCUAGUUUGAGCUGCCUCUAUCUCUUUCAUCUCUUUCUUCUGUAUGUGGUGCUCCGCUCCUACCUGUCUUUCAGGAAGGUACGAGUGAAUUGCAAAUAAAGGUGUUGCCUUGCACUAAAAACUAGAAAUGUACAUUCUGUAGUUUUGAGUUUAUACAUAGUCUAGUAAGCUGCGGCUCAGAGGUUGAAGGUUCUUGGUGCUCCACUGCCAAGGAGCGACGAAAGACAAGUUUUAAGGGUGUAAAGUUGAUAAAAGGGUGAGGUAGUAUACAUUGCUGCGUGACUGUACAAAUGAUGCCAUGUGGAGAGUUGGUUAUCUAGGCGAGGCCAAGGCUAUCAUGUAUGCUAUUUUCUGAUUUAGCCAAUACAUUCAGUUCUUCAAAUUUGCGCAUAUUCUGGUUUUCUGGUGUGCUUUGGUUUUAUUGCUUCUAUCAUGCAUCUGAA